rnacentral:rRNA from 1 species
GAUGAACGCUGGCGGCGUGCCUAAUACAUGCAAGUCGAGCGAACAGAUGAGGAGCUUGCUCCUCUGACGUUAGCGGCGGACGGGUGAGUAACACGUGGAUAACCUACCUAUAAGACUGGGAUAACUUCGGGAAACCGGAGCUAAUACCGGAUAAUAUAUUGAACCGCAUGGUUCAAUAGUGAAAGACGGUUUUGCUGUCACUUAUAGAUGGAUCCGCGCCGCAUUAGCUAGUUGGUAAGUUAACGGCUUACCAAGGCAACGAUGCGUAGCCGACCUGAGAGGGUGAUCGGCCACACUGGAAGUGAGACACGGUCCAGACUCCUACGGGAGGCAGCAGUAGGGAAUCUGCCGCAAUGGGCGAAAGCCUGACGGAGCAACGCCGCGUGAGUGAUGAAGGUCUUCGGAUCGUAAAACUCUGUUAUUAGGGAAGAACAAAUGUGUAAGUAACUAUGCACGUCUUGACGGUACCUAAUCAGAAAGCCACGGCUAACUACGUG